rnacentral:rRNA from 1 species
GAUGAACGCUGGCGGCGUGCCUAAUACAUGCAAGUCGAGCGAACGGACGAGAAGCUUGCUUCUCUGAUGUUAGCGGCGGACGGGUGAGUAACACGUGGAUAACCUACCUAUAAGACUGGGAUAACUUCGGGAAACCGGAGCUAAUACCGGAUAAUAUUUUGAACCGCAUGGUUCAAAAGUGAAAGACGGUCUUGCUGUCACUUAUAGAUGGAUCCGCGCUGCAUUAGCUAGUUGGUAAGGUAACGGCUUACCAAGGCAACGAUGCAUAGCCGACCUGAGAGGGUGAUAGGCCACACUGGAACGGAGACACGGUCCAGACUCCUACGGGAGGCAGCAGUAGGGAAUCGUCCGCAAUGGGCGAAAGCCUGACGGAGCAACGCCGAGUGAGUGAUGAAGGUCUUCGGAUCGUAAAACUCUGUUAUUAGGGAAGAACAUAUGUGUAAGUAACUGUGCACAUCUUGACGGUACCUAAUCAGAAAGCCACGGCUAACUACGUG